CCGAACAGGUGCAGAGUCGUUAAUGCUAAAAGGGCUUGGAGUGGGAUCGGUCAUAGGAGAAGGUGUUGAGGCAGACCGAGAAAAGGGGGAUGCAGCCGAUGAUGAGUUGGACAGACGAUGCAAAGGAGAAUGUGGAAUGGGUGGAGGAAUGGAUGGUAGUGGGGUGGCCUCUUGUAGAGGUUGAAGUAAUGUAACGUCCCAAGGUGGGGAAGAGGGAGAUGAUGGUGGUGGACAAGUUAAUGAAGACUGAGAUUGAAAAAGAAAGAUAGAUUC
rnacentral:lncRNA from 1 species